rnacentral:misc_RNA from 1 species
GUCGGAUUGGUGAUAGAAUUGGUAAGUGUAUAUAUGACAGAAAAGCACAUAGAUUGUGCAUACGUUACAUCCCAAAAACUAAACUAAAAUUAACAAGUGUACCCCUGAGGCCAUGACUAUCUGCGUGGUGCUUCCACGAACUCUAGCAGGGAUUAUAAACGACAAACUGCUAAAAAUGUCUCCUUUAGAGAUUUGUAGCAGUACAGCUUCAGAAGUUUGGGAAAACUAAUUACCUGCAAUUUUGCAUCGGACUAACAAAUUAUAGACUAAAUAUUUUUUCCUUUUUCCGCCAGUUAGCAUCCUGGACAGAAAAGCUCAAUGCCCUUGAGUCAUGAUUGGCAGGGCAAAGAGAUGGAGCAUCAAAUGACAUUCUGGGUAAAAUACCAGAUGAUUAGAUCAGUAAAUGAAUAAAAUUUCCUUCCAUUUUGAGGUCCUGACCAGCCAGCUAACCUCAUCUUUUUACUCCAAUUUCGAAUCUCAUUUUCUCCUCUUUCCUGAGCUGACAUAGUCAUCCAUUGACAAUUGCUUCCGCUUCUUCAGAGCAGAAGGGCUUUCAGCUGCCUGUCUUGCCAAAGUGCGCUUUGAUGGGGUCGUGUUCUUCGCAUGCUUCUUUUCUUUGCGUGCCUGCCUUUCCCUCUCAUCAUAUUCUUGAUUUUCCCUCUCAAUCAACCGAAUAAGUGCAUCACAUCUUCUGGC